rnacentral:rRNA from 1 species
ACGAACGCUGGCGGCGUGCCUCAUCCAUGCCAGUCGCACGCUGAAGAGAGGAGCUUGCUCUUCUUGGAUGAGUUGCGAACGGGUGAGUAACGCGUAGGUAACCUGCCUUGUAGCGGGGGAUAACUAUUGGAAACGAUAGCUAAUACCGCAUAACAAUGGAUGACACAUGUCAUUUAUUUGAAAGGGGCAAUUGCUCCACUACAAGAUGGACCUGCGUUGUAUUAGCUAGUAGGUGAGGUAAUGGCUCACCUAGGCGACGAUACAUAGCCGACCUGAGAGGGUGAUCGGCCACACUGGGACUGAGACACGGCCCAGACUCCUACGGGAGGCAGCAGUAGGGAAUCUUCGGCAAUGGGGGCAACCCUGACCGAGCAACGCCGCGUGAGUGAAGAAGGGUUUCGGAUCGUAAAGCUCUGUUGUAAGUCAAGAACGGGUGUGAGAGUGGAAAGUUCACACUGUGACGGUAGCUUACCAGAAAGGGACGGCUAACUACGUG